rnacentral:rRNA from 1 species
CCUACGGGAGGCAGCAGUGGGGAAUCUUGCGCAAUGCGCGAAAGCGUGACGCAGCAACGCCGCGUGGGGGAAGAAGGCCUUCGGGUUGUAAACCCCUUUCAGGAGGGACGAAGCCCGGGCGGUGAAUAGCCGUUCCGGGUGACGGUACCUCCACAAGAAGCUCCGGCUAACUACGUGCCAGCAGCCGCGGUAAUACGUAGGGGGCAAGCGUUGUCCGGAAUCAUUGGGCGUAAAGAGCGCGUAGGCGGCCCGAUAAGUCCGCUGUGAAAGUCAAGGGCUUAACCCUUGAAUGCCGGUGGAAACUGUCGGGCUAGAGUCCGGAAGAGGCGAGUGGAAUUCCUGGUGUAGCGGUGAAAUGCGCAGAUAUCAGGAGGAACACCGAUGGCGAAGGCAGCUCGCUGGGACGGUACUGACGCUGAGGCGCGAAAGCGUGGGGAGCA